UACGUAGGUGGCAAGCGUUGUCCGGAUUUAUUGGGUUUAAAGGGUGCGUAGGCGGCCUAUUAAGUCAGUUCUGAAAUAUCCCGGCUUAACCGGGAGGGUGGGAUUGAUACUGAUGGGCUUGAGUGGAGUCGAGGUAGGCGGAAUUGACGGUGUAGCGGUGAAAUGCUUAGAUAUCGUCAAGAACACCGAUAGUGUAGACAGCUUACUAGACUUCAACUGACGCUGAGGCACGAAAGCGUGGGGAGCAAACAGG
rnacentral:rRNA from 1 species